rnacentral:rRNA from 1 species
UACGGGGGGUGCGAGCGUUGUCCGGAAUCACUGGGCGUAAAGGGCGCGUAGGUGGUCUGAUAAGGGUGUGGUGAAAGCCCGGGGCUCAACCCCGGGUCGGCCGUGCCGACUGUUGGACUAGAGUGCUGUAGGGGCAGGCGGAAUUCCGGGUGUAGCGGUGGAAUGCGUAGAGAUCCGGAAGAACACCGGUGGCGAAGGCGGUCUGCUGGGGUAAUGCUGACACUGAGACACGAAGGCCAGGGGAGCAAACGGG